UUUAAAAAUCUGAUGACGAAAUGCUAGGCCCCGCCAUACGUCCCGAAAUGAAACUGAGCUCCCUUGCCGGCCUAAACCCUCUUUUCCUGAGCCUGGUGUAUACAAGGAAGGAGAUAAAUAAGAGAAGAAGGCCUUAUCAGAAAAAGAAAAAAACCCAGUGCAAGUAACUGGCUUGAGCGUAAUUUACCUUCGCAGCUUCCGGUCGUUUCCCUAAGUGAUUUAUUUAGAUCACAGAUUAACUUUCCAGAAUCGGAAUAAAAUAAUUUAGCUCUUCAGAGCACGGGUGGAGGAAAGCCAGGGCUGAGUUGGGACGAGUGCAGGAAACGCGUCGGACCUUUCCGGGCAGCUGGACAGUAUGGUAAACAGUCUGGAAGGGUUAUAUUAUUUUCUAAGGAGUUUGGAGAGACUGUUCCUUCGCACCCAGCUCAAGUGCAGGCCGGGGGAGGGGAGAGGGAACCUGCACCGGCCCUUACUGGGAACCGCGCUUCCGGACCCGACACAGGGCUAGGGCAAACCGAGGAGCGCUUUCGCCUCUAGCUGAGAAACCUUUCCAGUCUUCCCAGCUGCUAGAGAAGGGAGCGAAAGCAAAACGAAAGCACCCGGGGCACAUCAGUCGCGGCGGCUUCCCUGAACGCGGCCGUGGGAGGCCAACGUCUGGGGUCGGUAGGCGAGGGUGGACGCGGGGGUUGCGUGGAAACUGGGUGGCGGGUGAUCCCCGCAGGACCCCCGGGAGCUGCUGGGAGCUCCGUCGCUCCUCCUCCCCCUGGGAAAAGCGACUGCGUGUGAGAAUGUAUCAGCCCCGAAGGGAAAGUUUGGCCUGGGUCUGGAGUUGAAAUUCGAGACUGAUUGGGACCGUGCGGAGGGGACGCAGAGGCAAAGGAGUGUGGCGCGGGGGCGAGCGUUGGCCCCCGGCUGCUGAGCCGGGGAAGAGGCCGGGGAGAGCCGGAGCGCGGCGAGGGCGCGCAGAGGCCGCUGGGGACUGGAGGCCCACGGAAUUGUUGCUCCGCUGAGGUUGCAAACUCAGCCUGCUUCCCCGCAAAAACCAGAGUUCUGCGCGGUAGAAAGACUUCAGGAAACUUUGGUGACAUCCUCUGCACCCGCCCUCUUCCCUCGUGGCAGUCACUGCGAGGACAAAGGCGGCCUGCGCUGAUUUGGACGAGGAGCGGCCCGUGUGGGCGGCCUUAGAGGCCGCAGACUUUUUCAGUUAGGAGAAGGAUGAGUAGCUUUACGAGGUGAAGAUUACCGCCACAACCACCCCUCAGGGGUGACAGCCAGUCCAAGUCUGAUUUGUUAAUAAUCAUUCUCAUUCCCCCACCUUCCCCCCGCAGUGACCCAACACUGGGAGAUUGACCUGCGAGAUGCUCUCCCUUUCACUCCAGUAGGUUUCUGUGGCCAAACGCUCGAAAAGCCCCACCUUGCCCUACCUAAUAAACAACUAACUUUGUUCUAUUGAAUGUCA
ensembl:lncRNA